rnacentral:rRNA from 1 species
UGGGCAACCUGCCCCUAGCUCUGGGAUAACUGCGGGAAACUGUAGCUAAUACCGGAUGUGACACGAGACUGCAUGGUCUUCGUGUGGAAAGAUUUAUCGGCUAGGGAUGGGCCCGCGGUCUAUCAGCUUGUUGGUGGGGUAAUGGCUCACCAAGGCGACGACGGAUAACCGGCCUGAGAGGGUGACCGGCCACACGUGGGACUGAGACACGGCCCAGACCUCCGUACGGGAGG